GGGGUUAAGCAGGCAGAUUCAUUUUCUGCCACCGAAUACAUUAGCAUGGGAUAAUGGAAUAGGACCCUGUCCUCCUAUUUUCAGUUGGUUUUGGCAGCGCGAGGACUAGGGUAAUGAUUAAUAGGGAUAGUUGGGGGCAUUAAUAUUUAAUUGUCAGAGGUGAAAUUCUUGGAUUUAUGAAAGAUUAACUUCUGCGAAAGCAUCUGCCAAGGAUGUUUUCAUUAAUCAAGAACGAAAGUUAGGGGAUCGAAGACGAUCAGAUACCGUCGUAGUCUUAACCAUAAACGAUGCCGACCAGCGAUUAGGAGACGUUGAAUACAAAACACCACCAUCGGCGCGGUCGUCCUUGGCGCGUUCGUGUUCACGCACGGGCGCGCGAGGGCGGUUUAGCCCGGUGGCACCGGUGAAUGACUCCCCUAGCGCCUUUGUGAGAA
rnacentral:rRNA from 1 species